rnacentral:misc_RNA from 1 species
UUAACUAUUGUAUAGUACUCAGACGACACUAAUAUUCAGAGUUUGUAGGCCUCUGGCGGGCGCGCACCAGCCGGAGCCGGUGGCCGGACAGGGCCCGGCGGCCCGCCAAAGCAACGACAGUAACGAUAACAGUGGGUGGGAGAUCUACCCGUGAGGGCGAGAACUCUGUAAUGAUCCCUCCGCAGGUUCACCUACGGAGA